UGAAGAACCUGAACCAGAUCCGUUGUCGUUGAUGACAGUAACUCCUUGUCCUGCGCCGUAGCCAGGUCCGUAUAAACCAUUUCCAGGUCCAUAGGCACCACCUGCUCCUGCACCUGCACUAGCGGCUGCUCCAGCACCUGCUCCGGGACCAUAGCCUCGGCCAGCAUUUCCUCCGUUA